AGAACGAACGCUGGCGGCAUGCCUAACACAUGCAAGUCGAACGCUCUUGGGGCUUCGGUUCCAAGGGAGUGGCGCACGGGUGAGUAGCGCGUGGGAACCUGCCCUGGAGUGGGGGAUAACCGAGGGAAACUUCGGCUAAUACCGCAUGCGCCCGGGAAACCGGGGAAAGAUUUAUCGCUCUAGGAGGGGCCCGCGUCGGAUUAGCUAGUUGGUGGGGUAACGGCCUACCAAGGCUUUGAUCCGUAGCUGGUCUGAGAGGAUGAUCAGCCACACUGGGACUGAGACACGGCCCAGACUCCUACGGGAGGCAGCAGUGGGGAAUAUUGCGCAAUGGGCGAAAGCCUGACGCAGCGACGCCGCGUGGGGGAUGAAGGCCUUCGGGUUGUAAACCCCUUUCAGCAGGGACGAAGCGAAAGUGACGGUACCUGCAGAAGAAGCGCCGGCUAACUACGUGCCAGCAGCCGC
rnacentral:rRNA from 1 species